rnacentral:rRNA from 1 species
UACGUAGGGUGCGAGCGUUGUCCGGAAUUAUUGGGCGUAAAGAGCUCGUAGGCGGCUUGUUGCGUCGACUGUGAAAACCCGCGGCUUAACCGCGGGCUUGCAGUUGAUACGGGCAGACUAGAGUUCGGCAGGGGAGACUGGAAUUCCUGGUGUAGCGGUGAAAUGCGCAGAUAUCAGGAGGAACACCGAUGGCGAAGGCAGCUCGCUGGGACGGUACUGACGCUGAGGCGCGAAAGCGUGGGGAGCAAACAGG